rnacentral:rRNA from 1 species
GACGAACGCUGGCGGCGUGCUUAACACAUGCAAGUCGACCGGAAAGGCUCUAGCUAGCUGGGGUACACGAGUGGCGAACGGGUGAGUAACCCGAGGGAGACCUGCUUUGCACCUCGGGAAAAGCCUGGGAAACUGGGCCUAUAACCGGAGAUGAACAUGGUGGGGAUACUGUGGUGGAUAGAUGUUGCGGCGUGGGAUGGGCACGCGGCCUAUCAGCUGGUUGGUGGGGGAGUGGCCUACCACGGCGGCGACGGGUAGCCGGCCUGAGAAGGUGGUCGGCGACAUUGGGACUGAGACACGACCCAGACUAGUACGGGAGGCAGCAGUGGGAAGUGUGACACAAUGGGCGGAAGACGGAUGCAGCGACGCCGCGUGGGGGAUGACGGACUUCGGGUUGUAGACACAUAACACCAUCGACGAAGGGUUUAUGACGGUAGCUGAAGAAGAAGCACCGGCUAACUACGUG